rnacentral:rRNA from 1 species
AUGCAAGUCGAGCGGACAGAAGGGAGCUUGCUCCCGGAUGUUAGCGGCGGACGGGUGAGUAACACGUGGGUAACCUGCCUGUAAGACUGGGAUAACUCCGGGAAACCGGAGCUAAUACCGGAUAGUUCCUUGAACCGCAUGGUUCAAGGAUGAAAGACGGUUUCGGCUGUCACUUACAGAUGGACCCGCGGCGCAUUAGCUAGUUGGUGAGGUAACGGCUCACCAAGGCGACGAUGCGUAGCCGACCUGAGAGGGUGAUCGGCCACACUGGGACUGAGACACGGCCCAGACUCCUACGGGAGGCAGCAGUAGGGAAUCUUCCGCAAUGGACGAAAGUCUGACGGAGCAACGCCGCGUGAGUGAUGAAGGUUUUCGGAUCGUAAAGCUCUGUUGUUAGGGAAGAACAAGUGCAAGAGUAACUGCUUGCACCUUGACGGUACCUAACCAGAAAGCCACGGCUAACUACGUGCCAGCAGCCGCGGUAAUACGUAGGUGGCAAGCGUUGUCCGGAAUUAUUGGGCGUAAAGGGCUCGCAGGCGGUUUCUUAAGUCUGAUGUGAAAGCCCCCGGCUCAACCGGGGAGGGUCAUUGGAAACUGGGAAACUUGAGUGCAGAAGAGGAGAGUGGAAUUCCACGUGUAGCGGUGAAAUGCGUAGAGAUGUGGAGGAACACCAGUGGCGAAGGCGACUCUCUGGUCUGUAACUGACGCUGAGGAGCGAAAGCGUGGGGAGCGAACAGGAUUAGAUACCCUGGUAGUCCACGCCGUAAACGAUGAGUGCUAAGUGUUAGGGGGUUUCCGCCCCUUAGUGCUGCAGCUAACGCAUUAAGCACUCCGCCUGGGGAGUACGGUCGCAAGACUGAAACUCAAAGGAAUUGACGGGGGCCCGCACAAGCGGUGGAGCAUGUGGUUUAAUUCGAAGGCAACGCGAGAACCUUACCAGGUCUUGACAUCCUCUGACAACCCUAGAGAUAGGGCUUUCCCUUCGGGGACAGAGUGACAGGUGGUGCAUGGGUGUCGUCAGCUCCUGGUCGUGAGAUGUUGGGUUAAGUCCCGCA